AUUGAACGCUGGCGGCAGGCCUAACACAUGCAAGUCGAGCGGUAGAGAGGUGCUUGCACCCCUUGAGACCGGCGGACGGGUGAGUAAGGCCUAGGAAUCUGCCUGGUAGUGGGGGAUAACGCUCGGAAACGGCCGCUAAUACCGCAUACGUCCUACGGGAGAAAGCAGGGGACCUUCGGGCCUUGCGUUAUCAGAUGAGCCUGGGUCGGAUUAGCUAGGUGGUGAGGUAAUGGCUCACCAAGGCGACGAUCCGUAACUGGUCUGAGAGGAUGAUCAGUCACACUGGAAAUGAGACACGGGCCAGACUCCUACGGGAGGCAGCAGUGGGGAAUAUUGGACAAUGGGCGAAAGCCUGAUCCAGCCAUGCCGCGUGUGUGAAGAAGGUCUUCGGAUUGUAAAGCACUUUAAGUUGGGAGGAAGGGUCGUUACCUCAUACGUGACGAUUUUGACGUUACCGACAGAAUAAGCACCGGCUAACUCUGUGCCAGCAGCCGCCGUAAUAC
rnacentral:rRNA from 1 species